rnacentral:rRNA from 1 species
CCCGCCGGAGGCCACUGCUAUCGGGGUUCGAUUAAGCCAUGCGAGUCGAGAGGGUUCGGCCCUCGGCAUACUGCUCAGUAACACGUGGAUAACCUGCCCUAAGGAAGGGGAUAACCCCGGGAAACUGGGGAUAAUACCCUAUAGGUUACAGAUGCUGGAAUGCUCUGUAACUCAAAGCUCCGGCGCCUUAGGAUGGAUCUGCGGCCGAUUAGGUUGUUGUUGGGGUAACGGCCCAACAAGCCAGUAAUCGGUACGGGUUGUGGGAGCAAGAGCCCGGAGUUGGAUUCUGAGACACGAAUCCAGGCCCUACGGGGCGCAGCAGGCGCGAAAACUUUACAAUGCGGGCAACCGUGAUAAGGGAACCUCGAGUGCCUGUAUAUGCAGGCUGUCCAGGUGUCUAAAGCACACCUGAAGAAAGGGCCGGGCAAGACCGGUGCCAGCCGCCGCGGUAAUACCGGCGGCUCGAGUGGUGGCCACUUUUAUUGGGCUUAAAGCGUUCGUAGCUGGGUCGUUAAGUCUCUUGGGAAAUCCGGCAGCUUAACUGUCGGGCGUCUAAGAGAUACUGGCGAUCUUGGAACCGGGAGAGGUGAGGGGUACUUCAGGGGUAGGAGUGAAAUCCUGUAAUCCUUGAGGGACCACCUGUGGCGAAGGCGCCUCACCAGAACGGCUUCGACAGUGAGGGACGAAAGCUGGGGGAGCAAACCGGAUUAGAUACCCGGGUAGUCCCAGCCGUAAACGAUGUGCGUUAGGUGUAUCGAUGACCACGAGUCAUCGAGGUGCCGAAGGGAAACCGUGAAACGUACCGCCUGGGAAGUACGGUCGCAAGGCUGAAACUUAAAGGAAUUGGCGGGGGAGCACCACAACAGGUGGAGCCUGCGGUUUAAUUGGAGUCAACGCCGGAACCU